UUCGCAAUGCCCGAAAGGGUGACGAAGCGACGCCGCGUGUGGGAAGAAGGCCUUCGGGUUGUAAACCACUGUUGGGAGUUAGGAAGUGUGGAGGUGUUAAUAGCGCUUUCACUUGACUAAAGCUACAGAGGAAGCCACGGCUAACUCUGUGCCAGCAGCCGCGGUAAUACAGAGGCGGCAAGCGUUGUUCGGAAUUAUUGGGCGUAAAGAGCACGUAGGCGGCUAUGUAAGUCGGUUGUGAAAGCCUUCCGCUCAACGGGAGAACAGCAUCCGAUACUGCAUGGCUAGAGUGCGGAAGGGGAGAGUGGAACUUCUGGUGGAGCGGUGAAAUGCGUAGAUAUCAGAAGGAACGCCGGCGGCGAAAGCGGCUCUCUGGCCCAUAACUGACGCUGAGUGUGCGAAAGCUAGGGGAGCAAACGGGAUUAGAUACCCCGGUAGUCCUAGCCGUAAACGAUGGGCACUAAGUAGAGGGGUUUU
rnacentral:rRNA from 1 species